UACGUAGGGUGCAAGCGUUGUCCGGAAUUAUUGGGCGUAAAGAGCUCGUAGGCGGUUUGUCGCGUCGACUGUGAAAAUCCAAGGCUUAACCUCGGACCUGCAGUCGAUACGGGCAGACUAGAGUUCGGUAGGGGAGACUGGAAUUCCUGGUGUAGCGGUGAAAUGCGCAGAUAUCAGGAAGAACACCUAUGGCGAAGGCAGCACUCUGGGACGGUACUGACGCUGAGACGCGAAAGCGUGGGGAGCGAACAGG
rnacentral:rRNA from 1 species